UAGGGAAUCUUCCGCAAUGGACGCAAGUCUGACGGAGCAACGCCGCGUGAGUGAAGAAGGAUUUCGGUUCGUAAAACUCUGUUGUUAGAGAAGAACAGCGCAUAGAGUAACUGUUAUGCGUGUGACGGUAUCUAACCAGAAAGCCACGGCUAACUACGUGCCAGCAGCCGCGGUAAUACGUAGGUGGCAAGCGUUGUCCGGAUUUAUUGGGCGUAAAGCGAGCGCAGGCGGUUAGAUAAGUCUGAAGUUAAAGGCAGUGGCUCAACCAUUGUAGGCUUUGGAAACUGUUUAACUUGAGUGCAGAAGGGGAGAGUGGAAUUCCAUGUGUAGCGGUGAAAUGCGUAGAUAUAUGGAGGAACACCGGUGGCGAAAGCGGCUCUCUGGUCUGUAACUGACGCGGAGGCUCGAAAGCGUGGGGAGCGAACAGG
rnacentral:rRNA from 1 species